CAAGUACUCCCUCCGUCCGAAAAUACUUGUCAUCAAAAUGGAUAAAAAAGAUGUAUCUAGAACUACUAUACAUCUAGAUACAACCCUUUUUAUUCAUUUUGAUGACAAGUAUUUCCGGACGGAGGGAGUACUAC
rnacentral:pre_miRNA from 1 species